UUCCCUGUGUUGGGCAUAAGGAUGGCUCUGCCUGUUCACCUUCAUCAGCUGGCGUGACUGCCGUUUGGUGUGAACAAGAAAUUGCACUGAUUUAGUGGGCAAUAAAAGCUUCUUAAGCACUCAAUGAACCUGGCUUGCUUUGAGACCCAUGUUUGUCUACCUUUCCUUGGCUCUGUGAUAUUAAGUACCAUGGCUGUGACUAGGAUGGGUAUGGCAGAGUUGUGAUGGAGGACAAUGUGAACACACGUGCAGACCUGUCACCUUUCUUAAGGAGCUUAAUAAAUAUGGGGUCUGGUCUGAAGCAGUGGCAUCCCAUAUGGCUGCCAGUUCUAGUCCCGGCUGUUCCACUUCCCAUCCAGCUCUCUGCUAUGGCCUGGGAAAGCAGCAGAAUAUGGCCCAAGUCCUUGGGUCCCUGCACCUGCGUGGGAGACAAAGAAGAAGUUCCUGGCUCCUGGCUUCAGAUCAGUGCAGCUCCUGCCAUUGCGGCCAACUGGGGAGUGAACCAGCGGAUGGAAGACCUCUCUCUUUCUCUGCCUCUCCUCUCUCUGUGUAAC